UCACCAUCCCACCCAGCCCUGCCCUGCUCAUGGCUUCCUGCCCAAGAUCCAGGGGGAACUGCUAUCUCUGUUUAUUUGUCCAGUCGGGGGAUCAUAAUGGGAAUGUAUGCUGAAGACAUAAGACAUGCAGAUUCGAUCCCUGGAUUGGGAAGAUCCCCUGGAGGAGGUCAUGGCAAUCCAGUCCAGUAUUCUUGCCUGGAGAAUCCCACAGACAGAGGAGCCAGACAAAGCUUCAACAUACCCUUCAGGGGCACCAACACUAGCCAGUAACAUCUACUUCUCAGAGGUCUGAGUUCCAGCUCUGUAAGGAUUUUCCUAUGAAUUCCCACAGCAUCACCAGCAACAAGCAGCUCCCUCUUCUCAGAGAUCUAUAUUCCAGCACCAUGGGAAUCUCCUGCUCCAAACUUGCAGAUUUCAACAAGGUCCACUCUGUCCCUGUGUUCUUACAGCCCUGGGGUGAGACACACUUCCUAUUGUUACUCUCUCUGAGUUAUCUCAGUGUUCUCAUUUUGCUUUGGAGCCCUCUGAUGCC